AUUCAAAAAAUUUUGAUAAUUUUAUAGAUGGAGUGCUCUAAGGUACACAAGUUUGUUUUGCCCAACAUGAUGUGAAUUAUGUAUAAAUCAGGUGGGCCCAAAUGGUUGAGAAUUACUAGGGUUCACCAAACUAAAAUUUAAGUUUCCAAGAAAAAAGGAAGCAUGUAUCCAUUGUUAUGAAAGGCUUCCAACCGGCCCA
rnacentral:lncRNA from 1 species